CCUACGGGAGGCAGCAGUGGGGAAUAUUGCACAAUGGGCGAAAGCCUGAUGCAGCGACGCCGCGUGAGGGAUGACGGCCUUCGGGUUGUAAACCUCUUUCAGCAGGGAAGAAGCGAAAGUGACGGUACCUGCAGAAGAAGCGCCGGCUAACUACGUGCCAGCAGCCGCGGUAAUACGUAGGGCGCAAGCGUUGUCCGGAAUUAUUGGGCGUAAAGAGCUCGUAGGCGGCUUGUCACGUCGGGUGUGAAAGCCCGGGGCUUAACCCCGGGUCUGCAUUCGAUACGGGCUAGCUAGAGUGUGGUAGGGGAGAUCGGAAUUCCUGGUGUAGCGGUGAAAUGCGCAGAUAUCAGGAGGAACACCGGUGGCGAAGGCGGAUCUCUGGGCCAUUACUGACGCUGAGGAGCGAAAGCGUGGGGAGCGAACAGGAUUAGAUACCCUGGUAGUCCACGCCGUAAACGGUGGGAACUAGGUGUUGGCGACAUUCCACGUCGUCGGUGCCGCAGCUAACGCAUUAAGUUCCCCGCCUGGGGAGUACGGCCGCAAGGCUAAAACUCAAAUGAAUUGACGG
rnacentral:rRNA from 1 species